rnacentral:rRNA from 1 species
UACGUAGGGGGCUAGCGUUGUCCGGAAUCAUUGGGCGUAAAGAGCGUGUAGGCGGUCCGGUAAGUCCGUUGUGAAAGUCAGGGGCUCAACCCUUGAAUGCCGGCGGAUACUGUCGGGCUAGAGUCCGGAAGAGGCGAGUGGAAUUCCCGGUGUAGCGGUGAAAUGCGCAGAUAUCGGGAAGAACACCCGUGGCGAAGGCGGUUCUCUGGGACGGUACUGACGCUGAGACGCGAAAGCGUGGGGAGCGAACAGG